GGGCGCUUAGCUCAGUUGGUUCAGAGCGCCUGCCUUACAAGCAGGAGGUCGCAGGUUCGAAUCCUGCAGCGCCCA
rnacentral:tRNA from 1 species